UUGAACGCUGGCGGAAUGCUUUACACAUGCAAGUCGAGCGGCAGCGCGGGGCAACCUGGCGGCGAGCGGCGAACGUGUGAGUAACAUAUCGGAACGUAUCCAUAAGUGGGGGACAACCUAGCGAAAGUUAGGCUAAUACCGCAUACGCAGGAGACUGGAAAGUGGGGGAUCGCAAGACCUCACGCUUUAGGAGCGGCCGAUAUCAGAUUAGCUAGAUGGUGAGGUAAAGGCUUACCAUGGCGACGAUCUGUAGCUGGUCUGAGAGGAUGAUCAGCCACACUGGGACUGAGACACGGCCCAGACUCCUACGGGAGGCAGCAGUGGGGAAUUUUGGACAAUGGGGGCAACCCUGAUCCAGCCAUUCCGCGUGAGUGAAGAAGGCCUUCGGGUUGUAAAGCUCUUUUGUUCGGGACGAAACGGUUUCACCUAAUACGUGAGACUACUGACGGUACCGGAAGAAUAAGCACCGGCUAACUACGUGCCAGCAGCCGCGGUAAUACGUAGGGUGCGAGCGUUAAUCGGAAUUACUGGGCGUAAAGCGUGCGCAGGCGGUUUUAUAAGCCAGAUGUGAAAGCCCCGGGCUCAACCUGGGAAUGGCAUUUGGGACUGUAAGGCUGGAGUAUGGCAGAGGAGACUAGAAUUCCUGGUGUAGCAGUGAAAUGCGUAGAUAUCAGGAGGAACACCGAUGGCGAAGGCAGCCCCCUGGGCCAAUACUGACGCUCAUGCACGAAAGCGUGGGUAGCAAACAGGAUUAGAUACCCUGGUAGUCCACGCCCUAAACGAUGUCAACUAGGUGUUGGGUGGGUAAAACCAUUUAGUACCGGAGCUAACGUGUGAAGUUGACCGCCUGGGGAGUACGGCCGCAAGGUUAAAACUCAAAGGAAUUGACGGGGACCCGCACAAGCGGUGGAUGAUGUGGAU
rnacentral:rRNA from 1 species